rnacentral:lncRNA from 1 species
UGGUUGUUGAGUUGGACCUAGGAAAUCCUAAAAACAUUAUCAUUACUUUGUGUCUUGUUUACUGCAUUCUGAGGUUACUUCAGAUGGUGUCAAAAUUUAAAGCCCGUUGGCUUUCAACUUCAUUUCUUAAUUUGUCUAGGCUGGAAAUAUAAUCCAUAUCUUGGUUUUUGGCUUUACAAUUGCAUUUGGAUAGCUUUGUUUAGAGUUAGGCUUUCAACUUAGGGGUAUUUAGGGUUUGGUCACCUUAAGUAUAUACUAUUUAGGGAAAAGACACUUAUGUUCUAUUAAUUAGGCUUUAGUCACGAACCGGUAACUGAACCAGAUAAUAUUUUGGAAUGGCCGAAAUACCCUUACUUAACAAACAUGUGCAUAACACGUGACUUAUCAUUGAUUUGUAUGUAGAUACACGUUGGUACAUUUGGGCAACUUGAUUUGCCUUGAUUCAAUCUAACAAACUACGAAGAUCUCGAGGCGACUCAAGCACUUCUACCCUCCAAACACAAACAUCCUUUGUAAGAGUGAACAAAAUAUAAUGGUGUUCUUCAUACUUCAUAGCAACCACCAGAUCCCGUCAUCUUUCUUUUUGUUGUCUUAAUUUCAUCCUCAUCUAAUCUUCACAAUUUUUACUAUUCAUACAUUAACAAACUCUGCUAUGAUCUUUUAUUCUUCUUCCACUCCCACUCUCUCAAAGCAACACCAAAAACUCUUUAAUAUCCUCAAAAUUUUCUUUUAAAACACUAAAUUAACAUUCCCUUCAAACCCACAUUCAAAAAACACCAAAUCAAUCACUAAAUUGAAACUAUUUUCAUUCAUUCAAUAUAAUCAACGAAUUGGUUGCCGGAAUAAAUGUUUGUUUUGGGUAAUUGUUUCUCAAAACUCUUCUAAUUGAUGUUGAACAAACCAAUAUUGAGAUUGGGUAUUCUACUGUGAAAUUUUAUCUCUAAGAGAGAGGUGGUGGACGGUGGUGAUAUGGUGGACAGUGGUGGUAGAGAGGGGUGAUCGGCGAUGGUGCAAGAGAAAGAUGGUGAUGGGCGGUGGUGAUGUGGUGGACAGGUUGUUGUAGAACUUGUAGAAGAGAUGUGUGUGUGUGUAUGUGUGUGAGAGAGAGAGAGAGAGAUCUGGUGGUUGGUGGUGGGUGGUUGUGGUGGUGGUGUGGCACAAGAUGAAUAAUAAGAUGAAGUGUUGUAUUAUUGUAUAUUUUGUGUUUUGUUUAAUUUUAAGUUACACUCUGCAGCACACGUGAUUUUCAGGGGUAUUCUAGCUAUUUGAAUGAAUAUUUCGGUUAAACCCGGUUUUUGUUUAACUCAAACCAAACCAAAUGUCCAAAACCUAAUUAAUAGAACAUAAGUGUUUUUUCCCUAAAUAGCAUAUACUUAAGAUGACCAAACCCUAAAUACCCCUUCAACUUAUGUAGCCUGUUUUUGGUUUUUAGUGAUACACUACUGUAUAUAUGCCCAUGUCAUCACAGGUAUUGAAUUUAGAGCUACUUUUGUAGAUUCAUUUAAGCAAUGCAUUUAUUCGUGAGAAAAUUUGUGUUUCGUCACCACUUUUUUGGGGUAAAUUUGCUUAGUGUCACUAUUUUAUUUUUUAUUUGCAUUUCGUCAUCAUUUCGUCCCAGCUUCAUCAAUUCUAACAGUUAACUCAAUUUUGACCUGGUCAAACUGUUAUCACACAACAGACUUAGGUUUUUUUUUCUCUCUUUUCUCUUCGUUGUUGUUGUUCUUCGUUUCGUUGUUCUUUGAUUUCUUAAUUAAUUGAAGCUCGAUCUCAGUCAACGUAUAUUUGAAUCAGUCAACUAAUGGUUGACUUGGUCAACUAACAAGGCUGAGACGAAAUGGUGACUAAAUGCAAAUAAAAAAUAAAGUGGUGACGUUGUGCAAAUAUACCCCCAAAAGUGGUGACGUGUGUCCAAAAAUCUCUUUAUUCAUUUGUCAUUUUUAAAUUUUAAGCAGUUUGAAUUUCGUUGUACAAGUGCCCCAUAACAGGCACAUUUGUGGUUCUAGCCAUGGAUGGUUUAUGGUUAGCAACAGCUGAUCCUGAUAAUUAUGAAGUUCGAAUAAGUAGUCUAGUAAAUCCUUAGCUUAUUGCCCAUCCGGGAGGAGAUCCAACCCCCCCUUUAACACAUAGGGAUAUUGUAAACAAGGUGUUGUUUUAUCCGCAAAUUUAUACUACUUUAUAAACCUGAAUAAAAUUCAGGGGUAAGUCUCGGUUAAUGAGAAUUGAGUUUUAGAGUUUUAAAAUAUUCUUUUAGUUAAGGUUUUUUAGUAAAUUUACAUAAUACCCUUUAAAUAAUAGUUUUAUCGUAAUUUAACAUAUUUAUGGGUUAGAUUUUUAUUUAUAAACAAAAGGUCCAAUAAUUAAAAAAAUAUUAAAUUAAAAAAAUAUAAUAAACUCCUAUAAAAUAUUAAGAAAAACUACCUAAAUUUAUUUCAGUAAUUAUUUCAUAAAAUUUAAUAAAUUUGUGUAAUUUAUAAUAUUUAAUAAAAUUAAUAACUUAAAAUUUGAAUGGUAAUAAAAAUGGAUAAAUUAAAAUUAACCGGUGCAAGACACUAGUCCAGUAUCAAACCCCAAUAUUAUGCAGCUAGGGCAGCCGUGAUUAAGAAAAAAACGUGGUGUUAAAUAGCAGCUGUCAGCUGGAGUCGGGUAUAAUUAUCAUGCGAGUCAAUGGACUGAAAGCCCAUUUUUAUAGGCUUUUUGUAAAUAGUCCAAAUAAAGUAAGUCCAAACUGCAAGAACAAAAUAAUAUUCCGAUCGGCAACCAACGAUUUCUUUCUCCCUUCUUCUUCUUCACUUGAGAUCAAUUUUCAGAAGUAAGCUUUUUCUCUCUCUUUUUGGUGUUUUUUUAUUUCUUUUUCAAUUGUGUUCUUGAUGCAAGGUUAUGUAUUAAACAAAUUUCAUACAAAUUUAAAGAAUAAGUAUACUAAAAACAAUAUCAUUUAAACUACAACGAGAUUAGGAUUUAAGAUUUUGUUAAUACCUAAUUGAUUUUAUUUUUUCAUUGAUUAAUUCAGUAUGAUAUUGCUUCAAUAGUUUAUACAUGAAAUACUAUUUUCAUCUUCAACGUUUUUCUAACAAUUAUUUAGAAACUACUUCUACAUAUGUAAACGAAAUUGAUAUCUUCACUAUUACCAUGAUGAUAUGUAUUUUGUAUUAUAUGUACCACUUCUGUAUUCUUUCAGAGCACUUGCCCAAGCGCAUUAUUUGUGUUCUUUGAACGAAAAUAUACCAUAGAAAUAGAUAAUGUUAUAGGCUUGAGGAGAAAAAGCUACUUGAUGUGAAAUUAAGUCUUGAUGAGUGGUUGAGGGAUAAUGUGGGGUUUAGGAAUUCAAAUUUAGAGCAUUUAGGAAACACUUGUUUUGGCCUCAAAGGUUGGAGGCUUGUGAAUAACUAAUCUUUCACUCUGCUAAGGAAUUCUCUUCUAUGGCCUGCUUUUUCCGUGUGGUCGCUUUAUAAACUUGUGUGAUGCAAUGGAAAAUAUCUUAUCGUAGCAUAUUGGCUCUGGUUGAGUACUAAGUUUUUUCGUUGUUUUCUUACCUAACACAGGAUUUAGCUUGACCACAAUAUGUUAAGCAUAUAUAUUCGUUUGUUAUUCAGAUUGUUGUUUGUUAUUGUGUUUGUGUGAUGCAGAGCCCAUUUGUGUUGCAAUAUUGAUGGUAUCAACUUGAUCAAGGCAUCAUAGUACUGAUUAUGCUGGCCACAUAUUGAAUCAAAAUGGUUUGUAUACCCUGGACUUUGUUCUUGCUGACCUUUUUCUACAUUCUCACUGUAAAAUGUUUGUGUGCAUUGAGAAAAUGACAUCUAUAUAUCAUGAUCAUGAUCAUCCAUCAUUAUUCAACUCUGACAAGAUAUGUAGCAGCUCUUGUGAUAUUAUUAUUUAAGCAUUAAGAACAAUAGAAUGAAACAUUGUAGGGUUGAUUUUUUUUCCAGCAAUGAUUCACUCAAAUAUUUCUUUCGUAGCAGUGGUAAUGUCUGUGACUUUGAAAAUUUAUCUGUUUAUGGUGGGCUUAGCAUGGAAAUAUAAGCUACAACAUAGAGAGUCCCUUUUAAGGCAUCUGGAAAUGGUGAUAUUGUUUUAGCCUUGUAGGCUAUAGAAGAAAUACUGCUGUCUCUGCACACUUAUUGUGGGAAACAUAAAAAUUAUAGCCUAUCUUUACCUGUUGACAGCAUAUUGAACCUCUGCAGCUAUCCAUUUCAUUGUUUUCAAAGCUACAUUAAGUGAGCAUGGUAGAUUAUUAUUUUUUUCUCUCCCAUUUGAGUAGUGAUUAAUUCUAGACUAUUAUAAUAUACAAUCUCUCCCAAACAGAAUAAAUUUGUAUUCCCCUGCGUUUGAUGGUAAUACAUGUUCCACUUGGAUCAGGGGGUUUCCAUGUUGAUUACUUGAAUGCUUUUGGGCAGUAGUAAAAAAGGAUAAGAAAGAGACAGAUAGGAGGGGGAGAGGUUUGAUGUAAGAAUAAGAUUGGCAAUACACCAGACCAUGAUGUUGUUCCUAGAAAAGAAUCAAUGAUACGCAUUUUGAUGAAGACUUCUACACAGGGAAAGUUGAUUUAUGCUUAUUUCCAGGUCCAGUUGGUGUAUAAAGAGCUGUUUCAUGAUGGUAGACACUAGCAUUUUUACUUGAAUAGCAGAAUAUUAAAGAUUUGGGCUUAGUGUCUAGCUCCUCCAUUUUGAGCAAUCUUUUUUUACCUGGGGUUGAUAUCCCAUGAAAAACAACAUUCUUACCUACAUAUCCCUUCAAAUAUUUAGUGAUACAUAUCUCAAGGUUUUAGUUGUCCUGGUAUGUUUAGAUGACAAUCUCUCAUUUGGCCAUUCUGAUGAUUAGAAUUACUCGCCUAAAUAUGAGCUCUUUCACAUCAAAUUUAAGCUUGCGUAGAAUGAGACCCUAACUUAAUGAUGAUAUAAAAAACAAAUGCUAAACGGCAGAAAUCUGGUACUCAAAUGCGAGAAUGUUGAUUCGGCUCAUGGAUUGGACGAGAUUAACAAGAAUAGAGUCUAGAACUAUACAGAUUGUUAGAUGCUACACUGUUGCACUUACACCAGAGUUGAAGUUAGUGAAUACUUAUACUUGAACCUUAUUGGACAUCGCCCUUGCCCCUCAAACAAAAUAAAGAAAAAGGAAUGAGAACUUGUUUAGGUCUCCAUCUCAUAAGAAGGGAUUUGUCUCUAUACCGACUCAACUGCUCAAAUUCUCUAUAUUCGGUAUCCUUCUAAAAUGAAACCUACGCUGAGGCUUUACUCAACAUUUUAGCCCUUCCCAAGAUUGUGUGGCACCAGCCAUUGCCACUCAUGAUAUUCUCCUUUGUCAACAUGCUGGGACUUGGAUAUAUGUAUGUUCAGUUAAGCCAACCUUAUGAGUUUUAUCUAAAGUUCUCGUUGUAGUGCUUCUUUUGUUAUUAUUUUAUCAUCAUCAUCAUCAUCAUUAUUAUUAUUAUUAUUAUUACUGUCCACUCUGUAUCUCUCCCGUAUUUUUGUCAUAUCCCAAAGUUGCCGAUUAUCUGCCAUACAAGUGCCUGGUAUGACACGAUAUAUCACUAAUAAUUAGAUUAGUAAUAUGGAGGAUAUCAUUUUUGCCUGCAUACACAGGGGAUCCUUUUAAAUUUUUUCAUUAGGAAAUAGUUCAAAAUACAAUGUGGUGCCAUCAGCAUUUCAUGCAUACAAACUCUUACCUUCAUCUGCUUGACAUAAAAAGAUAAUGCUGCAGGCAAUGUAUAUUCGCGUUAAACGCGACAGGACCACCUACUUUGUGCAGUGCGAUCCAACUGAGACGAUUCUGGAUAUUAAGCAAAAAUUGCACGGACUCAUUGAUCAACCUGUUACUGAUCAACGCCUAAUCCUAGUAUCAUCUGGAGAAGUAUUGGAUGAUUCAAAGACCAUGGCAGAUCAAAAGGUAUUAAUCUAAUCAAUUUGUCUUUACAUUUUUUUCUGAAGCCAUAUAUCCUAAACCCUAAAUGGUUCAUGUUUGACACAACUAUAUAACCAAAUGGUAUCCUUCGACUUGACACAUGCCUUACCGUUGUUUCUCUACAGGUUGAAAAUGAUGCAGUUGUGGCACUGACUUUGAGAAAAGGUUUGUUUCUUAUCUUAUCUCCUUUUUUGUGCAAUAUACUGAUAGAAGAAUCAAAGUCCUAUAUAGUUCUACGUGCUAGUAACAUUUUCACAUCUAUACAUUAAUUUGAACGAUACAACUAAAGAGUGUGCGGCUGUAGAUAUCAUUCUGCAGUUAGAACUUUAUUUACCUUCGAGAUUUCCCAUCUGGAAUUGUGACAUGAUGAAUGAUACAGGUGUAUCCUACUUGGGAACUUAGUAGGUCUUUUCCUUGUCCUACAAGGAAAAGAAAACCUUAAAUAGGUUUCCUUGUUCUAUAAGGGAGGGAAUUUUAGGAAAAAAAGAAAUUCUUGGCCAACUAGAAGUUGUCCGAGGCCUAUAAAUAUAUGUUUUGGCAUAAACCAAAAUAUAUAGAGAGAAACAUGUAGUCUUUACUUGUUUCAAGAGAAACCACUAAGGUUUAGUGGUUUAGUGAUGUUUUGGCAUAAACCAAAACAUAGACCAAACAUAGCUUAUUUUAGCUUGUUUAAAGAAACAACUUAUUUAGUUGUUUAGAUAAACCACUAAGGUUUAGUGUGUUUAUAAGAGAGGCAGCUAGGGCUUAGCUUGUCUAGAGAGUAUUGUGAGGGAGAGAUUCUUGUAAUCUUCAUAAUAUUCAGUAAAGAAGAUAGUUUUCUUCGAGAUCUUGUGUUUUGUUUAUCUUUAUUUAUUGCUAUUGUUUAAUUCCGCACUCAAUAGUACCUUUACCUAGUAAUUUGUAUCAAGUUGGUAUCAGAGCAAAGUUCGAUUCCCUGGUGGAGUUUUCUGUGGUUUAUGGUCUUAACUCGUUCGCAAUACAGAAAGCUAGGUAAAGUUCUUGUGUCUUUAGAAGAUUCUAAGAAGACAAGGAAAAAGAAGAUGACGGAAACAGAUCUGAAGAAAUCAAAGGAGGUGGAGACAUCUACUUUGCAGUAGAAAGCCAACCCGAAGCAGAAGCAGAAAAGUUUGUUUUCUAAUCAAGAAGAUGAUGAUGGUGAUCGAGAGGAGCCAUUCAAGGAAGAUUGCAUGUUGGAGCGCAAGAUGACUAAGACACGAAGUAGGAAACAAACAGUGUUUCGUAUUGGGCGUGCAAGUCAAGUUCCAAGCAAAGUUGGAUGGUUCAGCAAAGUCCACGGAGCUCUUGAAUUCUCCCAUCUCUGUUUCUAGCUUAAACGGGAGUUUAAGUUCCUAAAGGGGGGAGCCAUGAUACAAGUGUAUCCUACUUGGGAACUUAGUAGGUCUUUUCCUUGUCCUACAAGGAAAAGAAAACCUUAAAUAGGUUUCCUUGUUCUAUAAGGGAGGGAAUUUUAGGAAAAAAAGAAAUUCUUGGCCAACUAGAAGUUGUCCGAGGCCUAUAAAUAUAUGUUUUGGCAUAAACCAAAAUAUAUAGAGAGAAACAUAUAGUCUUUACUUGUUUCAAGAGAAACCACUAAGGUUUAGUGGUUUAGUGAUGUUUUGGCAUAAACCAAAACAUAGACCAAACAUAGCUUAUUUUAGCUUGUUUAAAGAAACAACUUAUUUAGUUGUUUAGAUAAACCACUAAGGUUUAGUGUGUUUAUAAGAGAGGCAGCUAUGGCUUAGCUUGUCUAGAGAGUAUUGUGAGGGAGAGAUUCUUGUAAUUUUCAUAAUAUUCAGUAAAGAAGAUAGUUUUCUUCGAGAUCUUGUGUUUUGUUUAUCUUUAUUUAUUGCUAUUGUUUAAUUCCGCACUCAAUAGUACCUUUACCUAAUAAUUUGUAUCAAUGGAUGGUCAUGCAUAUCUGUGUGUUGAAAUGUCAAUCCAUUGUUGACAACCAAUGGUUGCAUUUCUGGUUUAGGAGAAAACAGGCUUAUCCAUUUUUGGGAAUCAUUAUCAGGACUUUGUGUUAUUAGGAUGAGCUUGUGAGUUGAGAGUAUUUGGGAUGCAUAUGUAAUGGAUGUUUAUUUUCUCUGUGUAUUUGUGGUAUGAUUAAAGUCUUGCUAAAGAAGCCACUGCUGCACCGAGGCUGUAAUUUCUUCCAUUAUCAAUGAUAUAAGUAUAUAACUCUUACUAUAUAACAAAAUAUGCGAAAACCUUUUGUAAGCACUGGCAUGUUAGGGACUAAACCAAAGGAGUCAAGAAUUUUUUAAUCCAAUACGCUUAAAAGUUAUUUUUUGCCUAAGUUAUCCAUUCAGAAUCUGUCAUUUGUGAAGAAUUUUUUUUUCCCUACUUCAAUCCGUCAAUGGGUUAACUUUUUGAUGUAUGAAUGAUCUUUUUAAGAUUCUUCAACAAGCCAUCGACACAACUAGAAUCUAUAGGGGAAGCUGUCAUUUGUAGGCUGAUCUCUCCCCUUUGUCAGCAAAGGAAUAAUGGCUGGUCCAACGUUGUGCUGUAGUGUCUGUUUGGAAGCAACAUGACAUUCGGAUCAUUAAGCAAGAAGGAAAUGAUUAGCUACAAUGAUAGGUAACAUUAGUGUGAGUCUUUUUUGCUCUGCCAUGGGAACACUUUUGUUAAAAUCAUAGAGGUAUUAAGUUUCAUAUUUAAUGUCCUUUUGCCUUUCCAAGGGAGUAUUGCUUUGUGACUUCUGUGAUGGCAGCUGAUAAGUGGGAUGUGCUAGAUACUACCUCCAAUACAAGGUUCAUCUGAAGCCCAGACCCAUAAAGGAUUUAGCCUUGUAUAUCAGUUGUUCCAAAGUAGCAAAUUAGUCUUCCGUGAUCCUGUGGUUCCUCUUCUCCCACAGUGUGGUUUGUUGUUAGCUUGGGACUCUAUUGAUCUUUAGGAAUGAGUGGUGUUAUAGAAGAGGGUUUUAUACCCAUGCGAAAGUUUGUGCAGGUUUUUUUCUAAUUGGUAACAUGUAAACUUUUGUUUUUCCUUCAGAUGAUAAGGAGUUUGAGGAUGUCAGCAUUUUACAGCCCGAUGAUGAUUUCUACCAUUCUCGUGAUGGAGAUGGUGCGAGUUGGUAAGCUUGAUUUUUGUUUUAGCUGAAUGAGUUGAAUCGCUUGAGAGUAGUAUAGAAACAUAGAUGUUAUCGAUCCACCUUUAUAUGCUUUAACAUUUUCUCUUUAUGCCCCAUAGAGGGUGUUUCUUCCAUUCAGGUUCGGAUGUGACAAAAUUCAAGUUGGAUGCAAAUGUAUAUCAUUAGUUAUUUGUGGUCAUGCUGCUGAAUUCGGCAACAUAAACAUUGAUAAGCAUAGGUUGUAUCUCGUGUUACCAUUUGGCUGAUAUUUGUUGAUGUAUAUCAUUAGUUAUUUUGGCCCAUAUUUAUGGGGCACAUUGAUUGGCUUCUGUGUUUAUUAUUCUAGGGGUAGCACAGGUGGGUUCAGGUAGAGCCCAAGAGUCUCAAAACACAAUUUGAGAACAUAUAGCUAGUAAUUCACAACAUUCAAGCUUACAUGUGAUUUUAGAUGCAGAUUGACAUAAAGCAGCACAAUAUGAUAUUGCUUGUACAGUUGUACCAUAUAGUUAUAACAAACUCAAAAGAGAGUUCUGCAGUGGUGCUACCCUUGUAUCCUUGAGAAUGCCCCAAAACUUUGUUCUUGCUGGAAGUCUUAAAAUACCUGUGGCUCACCUAGUCAUGGCAUUGGGUUACGAAGCCAUUGAUAUUUUGUUGUUGGGGAAACAAUCCUGAAAGUGAGACAGGUCUCUUUUAAACAGUGACUGACAUCCUUGAGUGUUGGAAUUUGCACAAACAAACAUAGAUCUCCUUGUAGCAUUUUCUAAUGUUCUGCAAAGAAGAGGAUUGUAUCCUGACAUCUAGUUGUUGUGUACUUGUGUGUUAUGUAGCAGACAUCGAACUGGCUUUCUCACAGAAUUUAGCUCAAGUCUUGGCUUAGUGCAUAUGAGUGAUGUCCUGAGCUAAUAUUUUGAUGCACUCUCCCUGGUACAAUACUUCCUCUACGUUGUGUGAAUAGUUUGGAGCCUUGAAAAGAAACUGCCUAGGAGAGAGAGAUUCCAUCAUCCUUAUUGUGAAUGAAGAAGAAACCCCUCACAAGGGUCCCUCAUAAAGUUAGACAAUAAUUUCACCAUAAAAAUUAGACAUUAUGGAGGUGUUUGUUUCCCUUAUCAUGGUCUUGUAGGACUUUUAAAGCCUUUUUUUUAUUAAAAUAAUUGUUCAUUUUUCAGCAAAAAUCUGCAAGAAGUCCUAAACUCAAUUAUAGUUAGUUUGUAGUUUUGCACCUAAAUACUUUGAAUGUAGAUUACAUCUAGAAAUUACCUGUCAAAUUGCAUCAUUUUGUGUUUAUUCCUUUUGGGUUUCUCACGAGGCACACAACCAGUAUAGAGAAAUGUUUAAUCCAUCUUUACACAUUGCCAGAUGAAAACGGAGGCUAAUAAUCGGGUUUCCGGGAGCUCCCUGGCUAAUUCUCAUACAACCAAUUUCAGCGAAUCUCAUACCCUGGAUAAUCCAUUUUAACAGUCUUAAGUCCUUUGUAGUCCAUUCCAAUCUCAAUAUAGUUGUACACUAAAGGGACAGAGUGCGCAAACCAAUUAGCCGAGGUAUAAGGAGAUGUCCAUGGGAUUUUCAAAACAUUAUUUGCAUUACCUAUAGGAAUAAUCUCAUUCGCUUGACUUUCAAUACAACUCCAAGCAAAAAUUGGGUGUUUUCUCUGAACUGUAGCUACAUCCAGAUGUGAUGGGAUACCAAGCAAAGGUACCAUCAUAGUUUUAAGAACUUAACUAAAAUACGUAAUGAGCUAAUAUUCUUUCUCCAAGCUUCAAGAGUUCAACAUCUUCCAGUUUAUGGUUCCAUGUUGAAUUAUAAAGAUAGGUCCAUCUUCAAAUACAUAUAGGAGAUUCCUCAAUAAUCUGUCGUCUAUCACUUUCAUUAGCAAAGCUAAAGUAAGAACAGCUCAGUAUUGGAGGCUUUCGGGUACUCAAUAUUCUUCCAUAAUUUCUCAAGAGUGUUCUUGACAGUAGGAAAUGUAGUCUAUCCUUCAUAAAGCAACCAACCAGUUGCCGGUCGGAGUCUGUAAUUUCAGGAAUUCCGAUAACAGUGGUAAUUUCUUUCCACAGCAAGAAAAAUUAGUUGGUUAUAUUCUUCAAAUGAGUGUUCCAAAUAUUAGAUUCACCGAAAAAAUUACAAACCUCAGUCUCUCGAACAACAGUACACAGUAAGUAAUUGAGAAAAUACAGCACAAGAGAGAUGGGGGAAGAGCAGCAGCUUGGCCAACCAUAAGUAAAAUUUUCAUGAGGAACCUUCUACAAUAAAGUAAAGUUCCAAAUCCAUAAUCAACAAACAGAGGCUAUUAACAUCUAUCAGUCUAAACAUAUGUACGAAAAUGAAACGUAACUGGUUAAGUGAGACAUACUUCUGAAAGGAUUUAUACCUUUUCAUUGGCAAAAAGCAGUUUCACCAAAAUAUUCUAUAGAAAACAUUGUGAUAUAUGUGGAGCACAAAAUAAAGUAAUAAACCAUGGACUGGGGACUGAAAUUUAGCCAGUGAAACCACCUCCCUAAGAGGCAAAAAUAAAUAUUGAAAUUUGUGAAGACAAACCACCUUCCUAGAUCGCAAACUGAUUCAGUUAAUGUGUUUUACCAAAAAAAACUGAUUCAGUUAAUGUGGUAUCUUUCCUACGGAAGACAAACCUCCUUCGCAAGCAAACUUCAUGAUGAGAAGAAUUCGGGAUAUGAUUGAACAGCUGCAAGCCCUCCCAAUUAAGCACAUAUAUAGUCAUACAGAGAAUCCAAUAAGCUCGCAGAUGCUUUAGUAUGCAAUGUAUUGAUUUUGUUCCUAGCUCGUUUCCUGAAGAUGCAAAGAAGAUGAUUAUGAAGAUAGCAUAGGCAAGUCAAAUGUCAGAAUGUAACCAAACCUAAGUUUUAUAUAUGAAACAACGUAGGGACCCCUGCAACAACAACGCUUGCCAAUCAAAUAAAUAAAUAAAUAAUUUUUUCAAAAAAAAAGAGAUAUGAAUGAUGGUUGGAGAGCCAUUAGUUCAUUUACAGUCGAGGAGAAUUUCAGUAGGCUAAUCUCAUGGGAACAACAUCAUCACUUCAAGACAGCAAUUGAUGAAAGUAAAUGUUACAAAUAAAAUGGCAGAGGCUAAUCUGCUAUAUCAGAACUUUGAAAUAGAUACUGGAGAUUCAAUAUAUGCUUAAGCAAGUUUACAAGAGGUAAGAGGUAAUCAUCUGACAAAUGUAUAAGUCUCACAAUACUUUCAUCGGUCCAAUUCCCUAUCACCCCACAAUUGUUCUCCCGCACAUUCCCUGCAAAAUCUAUACAACUUGGUACUGUUAUGUGGAUCAGCAACUACCUCUACUGGCUUGGAAAACUGACCAUACGAGUCCAUUCCCAAAGACCUUCACUGGCUUCCAGGUCACAACUCACACUAGCAGGUACAGUGUUCAAACAUUUUUAAGAAGAGUUUACUCACAGGUUUUCUAAUAUACUAAAUUUUUUUUCUUAUGUUCGUUGCUGAAGUAUGUUGUAUAUAUAUAUAUAUAUAUAUAUAUAUAUAUAUAUAUAUAUCUUUUCAUAAAAGGAAGCAAUUCCUAGAGAGAGGGAAGAAUCGUGUGUGUAUAGUAUAUAAAAGUACUAUUAGACCUUCCACAAUCCUCAGACCACUUGGUCAAGAAUUCAAAAUGAAAUGCAUCUCUUUUUAGUCUAAUUGACUCUCAACCUAACAAAUUUGGAUGUCAAGUGUUAAUUAAAUGGUCAAUGUAUCAACAUUCGUGAGAAAGAAAAAUAUCCUCACACCUCUCAACAAAAAAUUCUCAUUAUUUUAAAUGUGAACAUGUAUUGUUAUAUGCACAGAGGAUGGGUGACAUGGUACGCCUGCCAAGUGUAUGAUUCAUUACAAGAUAAAAUAGACAAUCUAAGUGCCAUACACGUCAAUAUUUAGUUUCUUAUGUUUGUACAUUAAUACAUCAAAGUUUUGAGAUAAAAUCAUCACAAAUUCAAAUUUUGAAAUAUUGCCAUGCAUCACAGAUUCACAUUUUGAAAUAUUGCUUGGUGGAAACACAGAAAGGACAAAACAUUAUGUGUGUGUACCUUUAUUCAUGGUUGGAGGGUAAACCACAAACCACAGCCAGUCAUCACUAUUCAUAACAAGGAGUGGGUGGUGGAAUUGUCACCAUUGGUAGAUUCUUACCUUUGAUAUGUUUUCCGUAUAACUCAUGUCUAUGAUCUUUCCAGAGCUCUUAACACGUUCCCAGAAGAACUUAGCUAAGAAAAUCUUGGCAAUUAAAAACUCUUACACAUAGUGUUCCUUUAAAACAAAAUGCCAAAUCUAGAACAAAUUUUUUUAGAACAUUAUCAAAAUACACCAAAUAAUAUGGACAAAGGCUCGGAAAAACCAUAGAUACAAUUUGCAUAAUAAUCAUAUCAAGGGUAAGAAUCUACUAGCAGUAACAAUUACACCAUCCAUUUGUGUUGUGAAUAGGGAGGAUUACUUUACUUUGCGGAUUACACUUUCUCUAAUGAAGGUAUGCACAAAAUCUUUUUCUUCCAUUUUUGCACUAAGCAAAAUUUAAAUAUAUGAGUCUAUAAUGAGUUUUUUUACUAAAUGUUGAUGUAUUAAACUACAAAAAAAAAAAAAAUUUAAACAUUAAUAUAGAACUGUGACAUGGUGGGGACCGACGUUAGGAAGAGAUUUUGAAAAAGGAAAGGAAACGGACAGACAAAAAAUAAAACAACGAAAAGGAGGGGACAAACACGAGUUUAAGUCUCACCCGACUCUAAAUGGACCUCCUAACGUUGGUCGAUCGACGUUAGGAGAUCCAUCUAGAGUCGGGUGGGACUUAAACUUGUGAUUGUCCCCUCCUUUUCGUUUUCUAUAUUUUGUCUACCAGUCUCCUUUCCUUUUUCAAAAUCUCUAUUUUUUGUAUGUCCAUCUCCUUUCCUUUUUCAAAACCUCUUCCUAACGUCGGUCCCUACCGUGUCACGGAUCUAUAUUUAUGCUAGAAUAUCUUUUAAGAAGAAGUAUUAUCAUGAUACAUAGCUAAUUAGUUACAAAAUGGAAACAAAGCCAAUCGGUUUAAACUAAAAUGAUAAUCAUGAAACAAUGAGAAUGUCUAAAAUGAUGAUUGAGUCAAGCAAAAGAAACAAAGCUAAUUGGUUUAAAUUUUAAACUAAAAUGAUAAUCAUGAAACAAUGAGAAUGUCUAAAAUCCCUAAAUCAGUUGUGUUUUAGUGAGACUUGCCGACAUCCAUUUCCAUCUUUGUCCAAAAAGGGCUUAGUAAUGCAAAAUGAUAUUGAGUCAAGCAUAAAUGACUACUUUUACCUAUCCAGUAAGUCGAGUUUUUAAAAUUAAAUUCAAAUUGAAAAUUCCUUAAAACAUGUAGAAGCAACUUAUACUCAUUACAAUAACACUUUUUUUUUUUUUGAGAGAGAGAGAGGUAAACAAGCAUAUUAUACUGUUCUUAUUUGCUUUGUUUACUAGUUGUAUACUUCUAUUUACUACAACAAAUAAUCUGUUAAGAGACGGUUGGCUACCCUAUUCAUUGGUUCGAAUUCCCUCCGGCUUAGGUGGAUCCCUCUCACCCAACUAUUGUCCGACCACGCAUUCCCCACAAGAUCAAUUCGUGGACCUGGUAAUAUCCUUUAGGUCAACACCUACCUCUACUGUAUUGGAAACUAACCAUACGAUGAUACGAGUCCAUUGCCAACGACCUCGACCGGCUUCAAGGCUCACAUUAGCUCUUACAGUGUUUUAUAUAUAUAUAUAUAUAUAAUAAAAAAUGAUUGAGUAGAGUUUACACAGGUUUUCUAAAGAUCUAAAAUUUGUUUCUUAUGUUGGGUGCUGAACUGAAGUAUGUUAUAUAUACUUUAAGGGAGCCAUUCCUAGAGAGAGGGGAGAAUCAUGUUUGUAUAUAACUAGUGGAACUUCCACAGUGCUUGAAUAAAAUAUCUAUUCCAAUCUCCACUUGGUCAAGCAUUCAUACUGACUCUCGCCCUUACACGUUUGGGAUGUUCAAAACUAAACAUCUGGCUAACCGCUAGCUAGUCAGAUGUUUGCAGCAGUUGUUAGAUUAUUGGUAAUGUAUCAUGAUAUGUAACAUUUACUUUGACAAAUUGUGGUUACACGCCAUUAUGAUUUUAAUAAGAUUCCUCUUUGCCGGUAAUUGAAUCAUCAGGUGAUUAUGAAGGAGGUUACAUUCAUAAUUGAGGUUGUAGUUUUGGCCAAGUUGUGUUCAUAUAUAUGAAUUAUCAACUUUGUAUGUUCUAUUUAUCCCAAGUUACCUCCACUCUAACAACAUUCGCAUCAGCUAUUGAUUAUAAAGUUCUAGAUGGUCUAAUAUGUGCAAGUCAUAGUAACCAAAGUGUAGACUAGAGGCCAGAGGGUGUGGGAGUGUGUGUGUGAGUGAGACAGAGCAAGGAGCAGCAAAGUUCCCAAACCUGAAAAACUAGAAACACCUAAAGCAAUAAAGAAAUGAAGGAAUGGGAACGACUGAAUCAUUCUAACUUUUCCUCUAUUCCUAUAAGGCUCCUUUUCUUCUUCUAGUUCUUCUCUUUUUUAAGGGCAGUGAGAGGCAUCUGCUAGAGGCUUUUUUUCCUGUAAUCAGUCCUCUGAUUAGAAGCGCUUUUGUGUUCUUUUGGGGUAAUUCCCCUCUUUGUUUAAGAAUUACUUUUUUCUCGUCUUGGUAAAGAAGAAGAUGAGCAUAGUAUACUUUUCUAGUUGCAUUUUUCACCCCUAGUAAGAGGAUUCAGUUACUAGUGUGCAAGCCUCGAAAUAUUUUGUAACUUUGCUUUUACAAGAAGAAAGUUGAACAUAUCAAAUACUCUCAUCAGCCUACUCAAUGUUUUCGAAUACAUCAUAAUAUCCCAAUCACCACAAGCUAAUGUUAAUUAGCUAAUACUUUCUGAGCUUUACAGUAGAUCAUGAUUUAUCUAACGAAAGAAAGUAAUUUAAUAACAAUAAGGCAGAAUAAAAAAACAAUGCGUAAUGAAAAAUGGAACUCACUACUCAGAGAAGAAUAAGGUGUACCAGAAAAUAAGUUCUUCGAAUUACUGCACAGCACAGCUACAGCGUAGGCUCAAUCCAGAUGGUCGGCUGGAUCCUCAUGUUGGUCUCUGUUAGACAAUACCGAUCAAUUGUAUCAUCAUCAAGAUUGAAAACUGACACAUCAUGAGGUCCUAAUCCAUCUUGUUCUUUCUUUUCAUAAUAAUCAUCAGUUAUAUACACAGCAUUUGGUAUGCAUCCAGGGAACUCUGAAGCCAAUACAGACAUAGAAGUAUUACCACCUAAAAACAAAGCACGUCCCUGUAAAUCAUCCACCUUAAUCCACUCAAAAGUAACAGGAUCCAACUUAAUAACACGAAUUCCACCCUUAUGGUAAUCCACGAAAAGCUCAUAAUCAUCAGUAACUUUAGCAAGUCUACAAACUUUCAACAAGUCUCCUGAUGAUUCCACAAGAAAAAGCUCAACAGUACAAAAAUAAGGAGGAGGUUCCACAUUUGUUAUCUUAGGAACAGAAUCCAUCAAAUCACAAAUAUAUAAUCUACUUAAAGAAUCAAUUGCGUAAAAUUGAUCUUUAAAAUAAAUAACAUCCCUAAUUAAAUGAAUAGGUAAACAAGUCCAAGAUUUAUCACCAGGUUUCAAAAAUGCUAAUUGAAAAUUUGGUGGACCAAGAAUUGCUACAGCUACAUAAUUAUUGGUUGAUGACGGAUUCGCCGAUAAAACAAUCUUACAUACCCUACAAUGUUGAUAAGCCUCAAACUUAUCAUUAGGUGGUAAUUCAGGAAGAUCAAUCUGAUUAUUGAAAUGCAAGAAUGGAUUAAAAAGACUAACAUCACGAUUAUCGCGAAUAGUUGUAACUAACCAUCCAUAUGUAGAACCAACAAUGAUUUUGUUUUGUGGUACUGGUAAUUGGAAAUUGAAAAAAUAAUCAUCGGUGAUGCUGUAUAAACUUCUUGUUUGAUUAUCUGACAAGUUGAAUUCAGUAGUAAUCAUAAGAAAAGGGAGUUGUCUAGGUAUAAGAAGUCGAUUUUCUUUGUAAAUGGAAUGUAAUGGAUGACAAACAGCACCAAAGAAAAUGUAAUCAUAUAUUGUAAUCAAUUUGUUUGAUAUGAGUGAUAGAACAUCGUUUGGUAAUUGUAACCAAUUCACUUCUCUUUGAAUAGAAUCAUCAUCAUCUUCUUCUUUCUUUUCUGGUGGUGGCUUUUGAUCCAUUUCGCAAGAGAGAAAGAUGUUGUUGGUUGUGGGAGAGAAUGAGAAAAGGGUUUGACAUUUCUUCCAAAUCGAUCGAGUUUAGUGUGUAAGUACAAUUCUACCCUCCUUACUUGCAAUUUAAGAAGUUUGGUAGGGAGAACAUGCACCUUAGUACAUUCGGAUGUAGUAUAACUAACUAACAUGCAGGGUAUCAGAUAAACAUAAGGAUUUGGCAAACACAUGAUAGGCACAUAUCACACAGUUGCACUACACUACGGGACUAGUCAAAGCAAGACUAGGCUGACAUGCCACCACCUGAGUCGAGGAUCUCUCUAAACAAGUGGACGGACCAGAUCACAAGUCAGUUGAAACACUAUAAAAAAAGGCAAAGCCCUAAGGUUUAAGGGUAAUUUCCCGAAUAAGUACAACAUUAGGCACAACAUUCCCAAAUAAGCAACAAGUCUAAAGUUUUUUCCAAACAAACACAAAGAUUCUCUUUAAAAUUUUGUUUUUGUCUUUUAGCUAAUUUUUCUUCCUAUAUUACCCUUAGUACUUAAAUAAUACUUUUUGUUUAAUUUUUUUGUUUGAAUGACCGAUGUGACAUGUGAGAAAAUGAUUCUUCUUUAAAUAAGGACCAUUGGAUUUGUAUGAUGAACUGUGACCGUUGGAUGUAGAGUUUAGUUGGGCUAAUAUGUAAGAAAACCGAAAUUAUAUGCUAAUCUGCUACACGUGGCAGAAGUUGUUUAGGUAACAAAGAGGCGGGCUUUUAGUUGGGGAAAACGAAAAUUAGGGAUUUCAAUUUCGCACAGCAAACGUUUCCCUCUCAUCUUCUCCUUCCUCAACUGUCGCCACUCUUCCUCUCAUCUUCUUCUUCCUCAACCGUCGCCACUCUUCCUCUCAUCUUCUUCUUCCCCAACCGUCAUAACCUCAAUUUAUAACCCAAAGUUCUCAAAGUUCUAAUUCGACAAAACAUGAAGGAAAUUAAGAAGAAGCAAUAGCAAACUAGAGAUGAUGAAAUCGAAAAAGGUAGGCGAUUUACUCUCACAGUUAGGUGUUCAACAACUAAAUUUUUUGAACACUUUCAACAUCCAAGUGAUAAAAUUCCACCGAAAGGUUAGAAUCAUUUAGAACUUCGCCCUUCGGUCAAUUUCUCGAUUUCAAUUCCGAACAUGUUCACAUGAUAACAUCCGUUAUCACAGAAAUUGUGAGAUGUAGAGUAGUGACGGCAUGCAUGACUCAGAAGGUAUGUUGUUUGCUACAAAAAAAAUUUCCAUUUUUAUGUAUCUGCUAUAUGAUUCUAUCGUAUCUGCUACUGGCAAGACCUGUUGCUUUACAUAGACAAUCUAUCUGCUACCUACAAACUGAAAUCUUAAAAUGGAGAAGAUGAUUCGUUGGGCUACAAAAGGGCAACUAAAGAACUGAGAAACAUGGAGAAGAUGUUGUCCUAUGUUAUUUAUGCUGCAGACCCAUCGCAGAUUCAUCUUGAUUUGGAAAGGAAGUGGAAGCGUGAGUAUGUAUCCUGUGUUACACAACCAGACUUUUGUACCUGUGGGGCAUUCCUUCUUGCAUUCGUCGAAUGUGUCCUUCGAGGAAUACCACCGGAAUUUGAGGCAGAUCCUUUGCAGAUGCGCUACCGCAUUGCUAGAGACCUAAUUGAUUGUCGAGAGCUACCACCAAAGAGAAAGACCUGAUUUAUGAACCUAUUGACAUGUUUUGUGAAGACUUAUGAACCUAUAUCUUGUUUAUGAACCUAUUUCUUGUUUUGUAUUCUAAAUUUAUUGUAUUCUGAAACUUAUGAUCCUUUUAACUUAUGGUAGACACCUUGUUUAGUAUAUUGGAUUACCCUCUUCUUAACUCUGUUGAACAUGUUAGUACGGAUUCUAAGAUUUUAAAUAACAGAUAGUAGAAUCAGUCUAGUAGAUAGACUGCUCUUAAUAGCAGAUAAUAUGUGAAGUCUAAACUGUAUACAUAGCAAAAGAUAGCAAAAGUGUAUACAUAGCCAAAUAUUCUUCCACCUACUAUGUUGUUUGAUUAAGAGGAGAGAGAUGAGGUCCUUCUUCAAACUGCAUUGGAGUGAAAAGAUCAUAGUCAUCUAUGAAUUCAGUGCAAGUUUUUUUGUUGUGACCUCUCCGUUUACACCUUGAGCAUCUUCUACUCUGGACUGGGACACCUUCAGCUUUACCUCUCUUCCUGACCACUUUAGGUCGACCUGGCAUGCAAACUUUAAGUGGUGGCAAUAUUUUUCUUGUCGGUCGUGCAGUUGGCCAUGACUCCUUUCCAGGAGUGGGAAUCCAUUCUUCCUUGUACGUUUCCAUGUAUGUUUCUUUCAAGAAAAAAACAAUCCUUAUUCUUGACUCUCCAUCCACAUAUCCAACCUCUCCCCCCUCAGUUGUGACCUCCAACAGACCACCAAAUCGAUAAAUUGCAUUGAAAGUAUUCGCUGAAAGUAUCCACAUGUUAAUAAUGUUGAUUAGUAUCACAGUGUUAUAGUAGUUAUUCAAAGUGUUUCAUGCAUUCUAAAAUGUAUCUGUUACAUGCUUCUAUUGUAUCUGCUACUGGCAAGAACUGUUGCUUUACAUAGACAAUCUAUCUGCUACCUACAAACUGAAAUCUUAAAAUCUUUAAAAAUGAAAGUUUGCAUCUUUAAACCAAAUUGCAUCUCCAACAACAAAGCUUGCAUCUAUAACAAACUUAGAAAUCAAAUCAAUUCAACAGCAAAGUUUGCAUCUUGCAUCUUGGCCCGGCCAACUUUAAAAAUCAAUUAAAAUCUUUCAAAAUCUUUCAAAAUCAAAGCUUUCAUCUUCAAAUAUUUCAAAAUCAAACCUUUCAAAAUGAACAAAUACAAACUAACUUAAACAAUACCAAGGGUUACCAAACCAUGAGGAAUUUAAUGCGAAUUUAAUUCGAAAACAGUAUGAAAUUGAAUAGCAAGCCCUCUUAAAUAUCAAUCAUUACAUUAAGGGUUUAAAUGCAUACCAGGUUUGGGUAUUUCGUCGAGAACAUUAACUUUCUUUUUGGUUGUCUUUUGUUUCCCCAUUAAAACAGUACCAAAGUGUCUUUAUGUUGGUGAUGGUACCACGGAAAAACCGAAAUUGUAGGUGAUAAUAACACAACAACCUAACAACUAAGUGAUAGAUUAAAACCUUGAAAUAGAAAAACCUUUUUUAUAUAUUAGCAGAUGUAGAACAACAAAGAAAUCAGUGAAGAAGAAGAAGAAGAAGAAGAAGAAAAACCUUGUUUGUUUGCAAAAGAGAUGGACAGUUGAGAUGAAAAAAGGAGAUCUAAGGGAUAGUGUUUGUUUGCAUGUCAUUAUCAUGUUUAAUGUUGAAGUACUUAAGAGAGAGAAUGAUGGUGAUGUUUAAAAGUUAUGUACUUAAGAGAGAGAAUGUGUAAGAAGGGUAGAAAAGGAAACAAAAAAGUCUUUGUGUUUGUUUGGGAAAAACUUUAGACUUGUUGCUUAUUUGGGAAUGUUGUGCCUAAUGUUGUACUUAUUCGGGAAAUUACCCAAGGUUUAAUGUACACAUUCUCUACACUCUAAACCCCCCCCCCCUUUCUCAUUUACAGUUUCUUCUAGGGGUGGCAAUCAGGUCAGGUCGGGUUAGGUUCAGGUCAGGUCAGUCGGGUUAUCGAGUCUCAACCCCUAAACCUGAACCUGACCUGAUGAAGGUUUUUUCUAAAAAAAUGAAACCUGAAAACCUGAAUGCAUUUUUUUUUAGAAAACAACACUAUACAGUACUGUACAUAACUUUAACAAUAACAGAAACAUGUCAAUCAAAUAUAUUAUACUGAAUACAUUAUACUGAAUACUGAAUAUAUUAUACUGAAUACAUUAUACUCAAUUCAAACUUCAUAAGAUCUCUCAAUCAAAUAUAUUAUACUGAAUACAAAAACAGAAACAGAGUAAACAACCCCGAUUUUGGAAUCCACCAGCCAACAGGAAUCCACCAGGGCAAUCCACCAGCCAACAGGAAUCCACCACAGGGCAAUCCACCAGCCAACAGGAAUCACAUUGGCUCUCUCACGUCCAGGCAUGAUUGCUGCACAAUUUUUCUGAGGACUGCUGAUAAGAACAGAUUCACAGAUUUGAUCCUCAUGAUCAUAUGCAACAGUGACUGAAUAUGAACCAGUUGAGUCUGUGAAUGCAUCACAACUGAAAACUGGUUGUAGAGAAUCCCUGGUUUUGCACACUACCCUGACCUUAGCACCUGCAAGUACAAAUGAUCACAUUUAAUUCUAAUUGAAACUUAUAAAUCAGCCUACUACUAAUAUUAAAUAUACAUCCGUUACGAAUUUACACUGCACAAAGGUUACAUCAGAAGUGCCUAUACAUAUUUGGCCUACAUCACGAUAAGUGGUUUUAUGACACUUUCGAGUAUGUCGUGUGGCAUUCCCCGUUCCUUGACUACUAUCAGCUCUAAGUUUAUAGCCACAUUUUUUACAAGCCGCCAUUACAUACCCACUCUCAUUCACUCCAGGUAAAGUAUUAUAAUGAUCCCACGCUUUAGAUACAAAAGUACGAGUUCGUUUAGUGGAACUUUUACCUGUUGAGGUUUGGUCUUCGGCAUUACCUUCCAUAUCAACAUCUAUGAGAUCGUUUUCCGAAAGAUCCACAACGUCCUCCAUCUGAAAAUU